GAUGAACGCUGGCGGCGUGCCUAAUACAUGCAAGUAGAACGCUGAAGCUUGGUGCUUGCACCGAGCGGAGGAGUUGCGAACGGGUGAGUAACGCGUAGGUAACCUGCCUCUUAGCGGGGGAUAACUAUUGGAAACGAUAGCUAAUACCGCAUAAAAGUCGACAUUGCAUGAUGUUGACUUGAAAGGUGCAACUGCAUCACUAAGAGAUGGACCUGCGUUGUAUUAGCUAGUUGGUGAGGUAACGGCUCACCAAGCGACGAUUCAUAGCCGACCUGAGAGGGUGAUCGGCCACACUGGGACUGAGACACGGCCCAGACUCCUACGGGAGGCAGCAGUAGGGAAUCUUCGGCAAUGGACGGAAGUCUGACCGAGCAACGCCGCGUGAGUGAAGAAGGUUUUCGGAUCGUAAAGCUCUGUUGUAAGAGAAGAACGAGUGUGAGAGUGGAAAGUUCACACUGUGACGGUAACUUACCAGAAAGGGACGGG
rnacentral:rRNA from 1 species